AACGUGGGUGGCGAGCGUUAUCCGGAUUUAUUGGGCGUAAAGGGCCCGCAGGCGGCACAUCAAGUCAGGUGUGAAAUCUCCCGGCUCAACUGGGAGGGGACACUUGAAACUGAUGAGCUUGAGGACAGCAGGGGGAAGCGGAACUCCCGGUGUAGCGGUGAUAUGCGUAGAUAUCGGGAGGAACACCAGUGGCGAAGGCGGCUUCCUGGGCUGUUUCUGACGCUGAGGGGCGAAAGCGUGGGGAGCAAACCGGAUUAGAUACCCCCGUA
rnacentral:rRNA from 1 species